AUAAAAUUUAAUAGAAACAUGUCUAACCAGUGUUGUAGCGUUUAAGCUAUCCAUUGUCAUUCACAAAACCAUUCCCUAGAGAAACAGAACUAUUUUUAAAUAUCAUAUACACUCAUCCGUUUCGACUCAGGAGAUGUAAUCUCAACUUGGCCAUGUCGUCGUAAAUCGUGGUAGCGGGAAGAUUCGUAACUCGCGGUCAAGCUCCGUCGGGUGAAACCCCCGGUAUCCCGGAAGAGGCCCAGCGAGGAGACCAGCGGACGAAGCCGUGGUUGCUGCCCUGAUGUCUGGUCCUCGCGUGCCGAAACUAAAACAAAAUAAAUAAUAUGGCGAAGCCAAUAAUCUAUAGCUCUUACAUUAUUUAACUAUUCAAUUUGGUUGUGUCCGCGAUAUUAUCACUUUUGUUGAGUUUUAGAACGCGUCAUUAAAUCCUCCAACGCGAGCAUGCACGCUGUUUCCAUAGAUACGAUUGUUAGAUAACGAUUUUAUGGGAAAAGAAAUGGGCUGUUUUUAGGGAUUUCCCGGAAAUUAUUCCAAUUCUCGUUGGGCUUCAAUGAACAAAAAAGAAUUAGUUAAAUUGGGCCAGCCGGCUACCAACACAUUUUGCGAUUCAUUUUUAUGAUAUUUUACAACGGUUACGUGAAAUGAUAAAAUACUUCCUAGAUGACUUUCAUCCCUGAGGAGGACUUUCUUUCUAUGUGCACUUUUAACAGUGAAGGAGUUUUAGCAAAAUUAAAAUUUUCAAAGUUGUUGUUAGAAUGGCGGGACUGACGCGACACUACUCGGUGUGUUCUAUGGGUAUUAAUACGAAUAGGCUGGCAAACAGAUAGCGGGACGGGAAACGUCGAGUGUUGGCUCCGACUACAAAUCUGGACAUGGAGGGAAUUGAGACACCAAUCGAAAAUCGAGGCCACAGGAUUUUUUUGUAGGAUAUGGGCCAUCCUUUUUACAAAAAUUUGAGCUUGAAAUCAGCGAUUUUGGAACAAAUAGGAAGCUCAAAAUGUACUAGAAAUCACGCCGAGUGCGGCGGGUUUGCCGACGCGACGCUUGGUGAAUCGAAUCAUCAAGUACACAGUGUGACCAAACCUUUUGUUAAUGACUCUUUUUAUUAUACAAACAAUUAUAAUUUUGCGAUAAUAAUUCAAUUUAACUCAUAAAAGUACAUUUGCAAAUUUUCCACCAAUGUUAUCUUAUAACGUUAUCACGUAAAAUUAUCGACCGAUUAUCUACAGCAAAAUUUCUGUAUGGCUAAAUUUAAAAUAAUAGUAGUAUAAAUCAAUUUAUUAUAAGUAUUAUAAAAUAUUAUGCUAUCCAUUAUUUUUAUUCCAAAAUUUAUAAAAUUCAUAGUUCAUCGUACUGAAACUCGAACUCAAUAUAUUUAUUUAUAUAAGUAAACAAGCACAUUUAUGAACGUCAGAAAAGAAGUUAAAUUAAUUGUUAAUUAACAUUUACUACCAGUUCGCAAGUCAAGGGCGUAGAGCGGGCAAGAAACUUUCCGCCACUCUUUUUAAUCGCUAACUUUUUGCAAAUCAAAUACAUUUUGUUUUAUUCUCAUUAGGCAGUAAGUUAUUUACAUUAAACCAGUUAACUAUACGAGAGUUAGAAUUGUUUACAUCGUAUGAUAUUUCCCAGGCGUUAAAUAUGUCCGAAAUCAACUUCACACCGGCAUCGAUUAUGGAUUGACCCUUAGUAAAAUCAUACUGUUUAUUAUGCAAGAGAUUAUUUUUAUUAAAAUGUAAAGAAAGUUG